rnacentral:rRNA from 1 species
AGCGAACGCUGGCGGCAGGCCUAACACAUGCAAGUCGAACGAACUCUUCGGAGUUAGUAGCGGACGGGUGAGUAACACGUGGGAACGUGCCUUUAGGUUCGGAAUAACUCAGGGAAACUUGUGCUAAUACCGAAUGUGCCCUUCGGGGGAAAGAUUUAUCGCCUUUAGAGCGGCCCGCGUCUGAUUAGCUAGUUGGUGAGGUAACGGCUCACCAAGGCGACGAUCAGUAGCUGGGCUGAGAGGAUGGCCAGACACACUGGGACUGAGACACGGCCCAGACUCCUACGGGAGGCAGCAGUGGGGAAUCUUGCGCAAUGGGCGAAAGCCUGACGCAGCCAUGCCGCGUGAAUGAUGAAGGUCUUAGGAUUGUAAAAUUCUUUCACCGGGGACGAUAAUGACGGUACCCGGAGAAGAAGCCCCGGCUAACUUCGUGCCAGCAGCCGCCGUAA